rnacentral:lncRNA from 1 species
AAAUUUAUAGACUUGACAAAUCUUGACCUAGUUAGAUACGUUCAGCCUGUCAAUACGACACUCAGAUAGGUUGAGCAAGGAGAUAUAUAUGGAAAUCUACUCGUCACAUUAAUUGAACCCGUACUUGGAACCGUGGUUUAACUUUUUUUCGAUGUACGGAUUCUGUCCUUAAUUCCGGUUGGAUGGGGCGACUGGUAAAUUCCGAUAAAUUAGGUCUGUAGAAUAUCAUUUUCUUUCCUUCCGUCUGUUAGUCAUAUGUUGUCUCCUUUGCGUGACUUCCAAUCCGACCUGGUACACGACAUAUGCAACUCUACUUCUCUGCAUGUUAUAUAUAUGAAAUUCCUCUCAUCUGUUAGCCAUAUGAUGUCUCCUUUGCGUGACUNAGUCCGACCUGGUACAUAGCAUAUGCAACCUUCUACUUCUCAACCCCUCUGAAGUAAUAAGUAAUAAAAUUUUGAAUCUAUCCUCUCUCUUAAUGGUUGUCUGCUCACCCGGUGUAAGGAGUACUCUGGAAGUUCUUGAUGGCUGGGGCAUAUCAGGAAGCGGGAAACACGUUCCAGUACACUUCAAAUUGAACUCAUAUAGAUUGUCUAUAGAUCUCGCUGCUCAAUUUAGGUGGACAACAAUAUCCCUGGUCGUCGUCAGCUGAAUGGACCUUAAGAUAUAGUAUCUAAGGAAUUAGGAUCAGAUAUAAAUUUUAGGAUCAUAAGUUCACCCUGUCUUGUAACAAUCAAUAGUAUGUCCUAAAUCUGUCAUAAUUUUUCGUGUUUAAGUGGACCACAAUACCGACGAUCGACCAGACAAAGAUGUGAAUACGAAAUGUACCGACAAGUGGAUAAAGGUUGUCUAAAAACUUUGAUCCCAAAUCACUCUUAAAGUUAGAUAUCAUUUUUAUUUUGUUAAAUUUGUCAUAGUUUCUUCUAAUUUAAAUAUUAGGGGAGAACUAAAAAUUAACAAUAACAAAAAAAAAUCAGAAAAAUUCAAAAGACAAAGAAAAAUAAAAAAAAUUUAAAAAUCCAAAAAUAUUUUUGUUUCUUUUUUAAUUUGUGUGCUAAGUUUCUUUUAGUUUUGUUUUAUCUUGAAAAGUGAUUUCAGGUAUAGAUAAGACUCAUGGAGUUUGUGUUGAAGAUUUCUGAGUCAAAGCCUCGUCCGUGAGCAUCGAAGAAUUCUUAUUCGAAGGAGCACAAAAUGAAGAUUAUUAUUUCAACAUUCAAUCAAUCAAUUUUUUCAGAUCUGGAGCUCAUUUGAUCUUAUUUUGAAGAGAUUCUUGCGUUUUUGGAUAGAUCUCGAAAAAUUAGGGGGAGAAAUAAAAACAAAACAAAAAUUAUAAAAUUUAAAAAAAUCCAAAAACAUUACAAAAUUAGAAAAUCAAAAAAAUAUGUUGGUUAUGAAGUGUGCUUGAGGGAGAUGUUUUGGGAAGUGAUAUUAUCAAGUGAUAACAGGCAAUCUGUCUACAUAACGUACCCGAAGUUGAAGGGUCUAUGCUCUGGUUUGAUGCGUCAGUAGGCACGAAAAAUUUUAAAUGGACUUGACUAGGGAGAGUUGAACUUAGGAAAUUUAUAGACUUGACAAAUCUUGACCUAGUUAGAUACGUUCAGCCUGAUAAUACGACGCUCGGAUAGGUUGAGCAGGGAGAUAUAUAUGGGAAUCUACUCGUCACAUUAAUUGAACCCGUACUUGGAACCGUGGUUUAACUUUUCCUCGAUGUGCGGAUUCUGUCCUUAAUUCCGGUUGGAUGGGGCGACUGGUAAAUUCCGAUAAAUUAGGUCUGUAGAAUAUCAUU